AGUGAACGAGGGAGGGAGGAGGUACACAUGCAAGUCGAACGGCAGCACAGUAAGAGCUUGCUCUUACGGGUGGCGAGUGGCGGACGGGUGAGGAAUACAUCGGAAUCUACUUUUUCGUGGGGGAUAACGUAGGGAAACUUACGCUAAUACCGCAUACGACCUACGGGUGAAAGCAGGGGAUCUUCGGACCUUGCGCGAUUGAAUGAGCCGAUGUCGGAUUAGCUAGUUGGCGGGGUAAAGGCCCACCAAGGCGACGAUCCGUAGCUGGUCUGAGAGGAUGAUCAGCCACACUGGAACUGAGACACGGUCCAGACUCCUACGGGAGGCAGCAGUGGGGAAUAUUGGACAAUGGGCGCAAGCCUGAUCCAGCCAUACCGCGUGGGUGAAGAAGGCCUUCGGGUUGUAAAGCCCUGUUGUUGGGAAAGAAAAGCAGCAGGUUAAUACCCCGCUGUUCUGACGGUACCCAAAGAAUAAGCACCGGCUCACUUCGUC
rnacentral:rRNA from 1 species